UCUUUUUUUCAGCCGCUUUUU
rnacentral:piRNA from 1 species